UGGUGAAGUCCAUGCUUUAGGCGC
rnacentral:siRNA from 1 species